rnacentral:tRNA from 1 species
UAUUUAAAUAGUUUAUUAGAAAAUAUUAAUUUGUGGGAUUAAAGAUUAUUUUAUAUUUAAAUAA